CAGCAGACACAUUCCAGCCAAUCAGCAGCAGACCCUCCCUCCCAGACCCGCCCACCUCCUGGACAGCAUCCAUUUUACAUGCUGCAUUCUUAGAGAGAUGUCCAGGAGGUAGGAGGGUCUGGGAGGGAGGGUCUGCUGCUGAUUGGCUGGAAUGUGUCUGCU